rnacentral:lncRNA from 1 species
CUGGUGGAGUCGCACCUGUCGGACCAGCUGACCCUGCACGUGGAUGUGGCCGGCAACGUGGUGGGCGUGUCGGUGGUGACGCACCCCGGGGGCUGCCGGGGCCAUGAGGUGGAGGACGUGGACCUGGAGCUGUUCAACACCUCGGUGCAGCUGCAGCCGCCCACCACAGCCCCAGGCCCUGAGACGGCGGCCUUCAUUGAGCGCCUGGAGAUGGAACAGGCCCAGAAGGCCAAGAACCCCCAGGAGCAGAAGUCCUUCUUCGCCAAAUACUGGCACAUCAUCCUGGGGGGGGCCGUGUUGCUCACAGCCCUGCGUCCUGCUGCGCCAGGGCCCGCGCCACCGCCACAGGAGGCCUGAUGGAUGUACAUCAUUCCCGUCGUCCUGUUCCUCAUGAUGUCAGGAGCGCCAGACACCGGGGGCCAGGGUGGGGGUGGGGGUGGGGGUGGUGGUGGGGGUAGUGGCCGGUGAGGGCCCAGGCUGGUCAGCGUCCCGUCUUGCACACCCAGGGGCCUCCCUUUCUGCUGGAGUCCCCUGUGUCCUCAGCCAUCCCAAGAAGGGUUUGCUGGUCCCUCCUUUCCCCCCGUCCCACGAGGCCACCUGGGCCAGCCCCUUGUCCUCUGCCUUCUGCUGGCAGAGGAGCAGCUGGACUGGGGCCUUUGGCACAGCAGCCGGUGUCUCCUGCGCCCGCCUCCCCCAUGGCCCCAUGCAGCCCCAGGGGCUUCCCCCCUGCCCAUGGAGUAGAGCCCGAGAUCCUGGCCACUAUGCCAGUUCUGACCUCGCAUCCCCCUACCCCGAGCCCAUGCAGUCUGGGAACAUGCCGC